AGGGAAUAUUGGUUAAUCUGCGAAAGCGGGAACCAGCAACGCCGCGUGCACGAUGAAGGCCUUCGGGUUGUAAAGUGCUUUUUGAGAGGAUGAGGAAGGACAGUACUCUUAGAAUAAGCUUCGGCUAACUACGUGCCAGCAGCCGCGGUAAAACGUAGGAAGCGAGCGUUAUCCGGAUUUACUGGGCGUAAAGCGCGUGUAGGUGGUACUGUAAGUAGGGCGUGAAAGCUCCUGGCUCAACUGGGAGAGGCCGUUCUAAACUACAGAACUAGAGGAUGGUAGAGGGAGGUGGAAUUCCAGGUGUAGCGGUGGAAUGCGCAGAUAUCUGGAGGAACACCGGUGGCGAAGGCGGCCUCCUGGACCAUUCCUGACACUCAGACGCGAAAGCUAGGGUAGCAAACG
rnacentral:rRNA from 1 species